AUGAACGCUGGCGGCGUGCUUAACACAUGCAAGUCGAACGGAAAGGCUCCUGCUUGCAGGGGUACUCGAGUGGCGAACGGGUGAGUAACACGUGGGUGAUCUGCCCUGCACUUCGGGAUAAGCCUGGGAAACUGGGUCUAAUACCGGAUAGGACCACCUUUUGGAUGGUGUGGUGGAAAGUUUUUCGGUGUGGGAUGAGCUCGCGGCCUAUCAGCUUGUUGGUGGGGUAAUGGCCUACCAAGGCGUCGACGGGUAGCCGGCCUGAGAGGGUGUACGGCCACAUUGGGACUGAGAUACGGCCCAGACUCCUACGGGAGGCAGCAGUGGGGAAUAUUGCACAAUGGGCGCAAGCCUGAUGCAGCGACGCCGCGUGGGGGAUGACGGCCUUCGGGUUGUAAACUCCUUUCGCUAGGGACGAAGCGUUUUUGUGACGGUACCUGGAGAAGAAGCACCGGCUAACUACGUG
rnacentral:rRNA from 1 species